CAGCAGGGAUAAAUCAGUUCAGCUUAAUCGAUUUGAUGGAGCUAGCCCAGGAUCUGGCCCUAACAUUUACCCCCAGUGCUACAGGAGAUACAACAGUUAUUCCUUAGAGCCAGGGUGCAACUGAUGGCUUUGACAUAGCACUGCACUCCUGGAACUGGAGAUCCUGGCCUGGAGUCUCACUGACUGGUCUCUUUAGCCUUCUCCCAGCUGGGAGGGGGACACCUGACAGCGGGGCUGUUUGCUGAGGGAAAACCCAGAGCUCAACUAGGGCCCCCAGGGUUUUAUGCUGCCCCCUGUCACUGUAGUAUCUGAACGCCCUAAAGCCAGUAGCAAAGUCUCCAGUGGAUUUAAUGGCGUCUCUGGCACUUCUCUCUUUCCAGAGUAAAAACUCUGCUUGGGGUGGUCAGGCUCCGUUGGCCUGGUCUUUCCUGGAAGUUUUGUUCCAUAGCCAGAUCCCCUCAACCAAAUGAAGCUACCUCUGAACUCAAGGGACUGCAAGGACUUGGUGCCGGGAUCCUGGUGAAAUCCCCUGAGGAGAUCUUGACAGAGAAGAGGAAACUGUACCUUGGUCUUACCUGGGAAGGAGGAUCCAAUAAAAAGGGAGAAGAGGAACCAAAUCCACCUACUGCCUGUCCCGAUCUCCUGAUAUGGCCAACAAGAGACACAGCUGAGAUGAAGUAUUGACACUGACACUUAUCGAUAUACACAGUCUCUCUAGCUGGGAAAACACACCUCUCUUGGAGCACCCAACAGCUGUCAUCAGGAUCAGAGUCCCAUUGCUCUAGUACAGAAAGACAGAGCCCCUGCCUUAAAGAGUUCACUAGUUUGAAACAAGACAUGAAUGUAACCAGAUGAGGGAAUUGGGGAGGAAGCAUUAGAGGAGCCAUGAGACGAUCACACUAUUGCAUAGACCAGAUAGUACCUGAGUCAUAAACAAGGUGCAUUGGUCAAAAAAUGCAGGAGGGAGGGAAAUUGAAAAUCAAAUGAAACAAAUAAAUCCAAGAAAAUGUUCUCCACUUUUGGUCAACAUUUUGAAGCCGUUGAAAUUUUUCAGCAAGCUGAUUUGUUUGAUCUCUGUAAUCUCAGGGCUCCAUGAAUCUCAAUGACCCCGGCCAUCUAAAAUUGGCUAGUUUCUUGAAGGUGGCCCGGGCUGAGAGAGUGAAGGAGGAAAGGAUUGUGACUCAGUUCAGGGAGGGUGUUUUGUGUCUGGAAGGAAUUGCAGUGAUAUUUGUGAGACGAGUGGAGAAAUGCCUGGGUGACCGACGAGCCAAUCCCAUGCAAAGUGAUGUUUUGUUGCGCAGAGUAGUUCAUUGAACUGUAUUGACUGAUCUAGGAUUGAUUUCCUGCUGUCAGGACUAAAAGAAAAACCUAUUUUACCUCCCUUAUGGAAAGAUCCUGUCGACUCUAUUAUCAAAUGAUCUCCUCCCCAUUGGCUUUGGAUCAUCCUCUAGAAUUUAAUCCAAAAUGAGAUCUCUGCUAGAGAAUUCUAGGUGGGGGGGAGGGGCAGUCCCAAAAACCUAUAGCAAAGUUCUCUCUGUUAAAUUCUGUUGGUUUUUACAGGGAUUUUUAUUGAACUCUCUUAGAUUGCUAUAGAAUCCUAUUGAUUUCUUCCCCGUUAAAUUAUAUAGGGAUUUGCAUAAAGACAGGUCUGCUGAGUUCUGAGUAAGUUUUCUGUUUUGAAAGAGUCCCAGUUAUUUAGGCUAUUGCAUAAUUACAGCCUUCACAUACGUUCUUUGAGCCGAAUGAUUAGUGUUAUUUGGACUCUUGUUAUGAGAAUACUGGCCAAGCUUUUCCAAAGUGACUAGUGGUUUCGGGUGGGCCCUGGUUUUGGGUGCCCUGGAGGGCUGGUUUUCGGAGAGUGGGUGCGCAGCACUUUCUGAACAUCAGACUCCUUUUUAAGAAGUCUCAGAUUGGGCUCCUGUAAAAUGGAAGUCCCCCAAUUGCUUUGGAAUACUUGUACCAGCGAUGCACACACACAACACAUCUGAGAGAGACCCGCCACGUCCCACCGUCCCCCAUAAGCAUUUAAACUAACCCUUGUUUUUUAAUAUAUUGCAAAGAUAAGGAGCUGGGUGAAGCAGCCUACGGUACCUGGGUGUCCCAGAGGAGGGAUGGUGCUUAGGUUGGAGUUCCCACCUGUGGCUAAAAGUUCU